GUAGUAUUAGUUGUGUUCUUGAACUUAAAGAAUUUGGCGGUAUCCUAUUCCGUUCAGAGGAAUCUGUCUCGUUAUCGAUAGUCCGCGUUGGACCUUACUUAGAGUUAUAUUUUUGGUUUGUAUACCGCCGUUUAUUGAUUAUCUUUUUAGAGUUCCUUAAUUUUCUGGUUUCUUUAAUUUGAUUUAUUGCAGGUCAAGGUGCAGCUUUUUCUAAGUGUAAUGAUGGAUUACAGUGUUAUGUGUUGUUUGGAUUGUUUAUUUUAAUAUUGACAUGAAAUUGGAUUUGGUUGUAAUGUCUUGUAAAUUGUUUUCAUGAUAGUUGGUUCUAGGAUAUGUACACAUCGCCCGUCGCUCU
rnacentral:rRNA from 1 species